rnacentral:rRNA from 1 species
UGGGGAAUAUUGGACACUGUGCGAAAGCCUGAUCCAGCCAUGCCGCGUGUGUGAAGAAGGUCUUCGGAUUGUAAAGCACUUUAAGUUGGGAGGAAGGGCAGUAAGCGAAUACCUUGCUGUUUUGACGUUACCGACAGAAUAAGCACAGGCUAACUCUGUGCCAGCAGCCGCGGUAAUACAGAGGGUGCAAGCGUUAAUCGGAAUUACUGGGCGUAAAGCGCGCGUAGGUGGUUCGUUAAGUUGUAUGUGAAAGCCCCGGGCUCAACCUGGGAACUGCAUCCAAAACUGGCGAGCUAGAGUAGGGCAGAGGGUGGUGGAAUUUCCUGUGUAGCGGUGAAAUGCGUAGAUAUAGGAAGAAACACCAGUGGCGAAGGCGACCACCUGGGCUCAUACUGACACUGAGGUGCGAAAGCGUGAGGAGCAAACAGG